AGCUUUUGUGGUGGAGCAGGACCUGCAAGGAAAGGAUCUGAAAUGUCUGCAGACUGGUGUGUGCAGUGAGGAUGGAGGAGUCCACAGCAGUAUCCUGGGAAUGGUCCAGUGCCGCGGAUGAGACGCUCCAUCACUCCUCCUCUUACGGUCUCAUCUGGACCAGAUGCUGCUGUGGUCUCUUCAUCCUCAGUGACCCCAGAGCCAGCGAGAGCAUCUAGAGAAAGACCAAAAGACACUGAGGAAGAAAAAAAAUAAAUACCCCAAGGAUUGAACAGUGUGGAGGCGAGUAAAUAAUGACUGAAUUUAUAUGUUUGGGUGAACUAACCCUUUAAACC